GACGAACGCUGGCGGCGUGCUUAACACAUGCAAGUCGAACGGAAAGGCCCUGCUUUUGUGGGGUGCUCGAGUGGCGAACGGGUGAGUAACACGUGAGUAACCUGCCCUUGACUUUGUGGUAACUUCAGGAAACUGGGGCUAAUACCGGGUAGGAUCUCCUGCUGCGUGGGGUGGGUUGGAAAGUUUCGGCGUUGGGGGAUGGACUCGCGGGUUAUCAGCUUGUUUGGGGGGUAGGUGAUUCCCAAGGCUUCGACGGGUAGCCGGCAUGAGAGGGUGACCGGGCACAUUGGGACUGAGAUACGGACCAGACUGCUACGGGCGGCAGCAGUGGGGAAUAUUGCACAAUGGGCGGAAGCCUGAUGCAGCAACGCCGCGUGCGGGAUGACGGCCUUCGGGUUGUAAACAGCUUUCGACUGUGACGAAGCGUGCGUGACGGUAAUGGGUAAAGAAGCAACGGCUAACUACGUG
rnacentral:rRNA from 1 species